rnacentral:rRNA from 1 species
UACGUAGGGGGCAAGCGUUGUCCGGAUUUAUUGGGCGUAAAGAGCGUGUAGGCGGCCAGAUAGGUCCGUUGUGAAAACUCGAGGCUCAACCUCGAGACGCCGAUGGAAACCAUUUGGCUAGAGUCCGGAAGAGGAGAGUGGAAUUCCUGGUGUAGCGGUGAAAUGCGCAGAUAUCAGGAAGAACACCCGUGGCUAAGGCGGCUCUCUAGUACGGUACUGACGCUGAGACGCGAAAGCGUGGGGAGCGAAC